ensembl:misc_RNA 7SK 7SK RNA
GGAUGUGAAGGUGAUCUGACUGUGAGUCUACUGAUUGCUAGGCUGAUUUGGCUGAUCUGGCUGGCUAGGCAGGUGACCCUUUCCUCCCUCACUUCUCCAUGUGUAUCCCUCCUGAAGAUGCAUGCUCAGUUGAAGAGGACGGCCUGCCCUGAAUAGAGACAGACCAGUAUUCCUCUGCUAGAACCUCCAAACAAACUCUUAAGAUAGAGACAGGGAGAAAGGGGUGGGGGUUGCAAUGCUGAAGCUUCCUUCAGUGUGGUAGAUGCUGGACU